UACGUAGGUCCCGAGCGUUGUCCGGAUUUAUUGGGCGUAAAGCGAGCGCAGGUGGUUUAUUAAGUCUGGUGUAAAAGGCAGUGGCUCAACCAUUGUAUGCAUUGGAAACUGGGGGUCUUGAGUGGGCGAGAAGAAGGCGGAAUGCGUGGUGUAGCGGUGAAAUGCAUAGAUAUCACGCAGAACCCCGAUUGCGAAGGCAGCCUUCCGGCGCCCUACUGACGCUGAGGCACGAAAGUGCGGGGAUCGAACAGG
rnacentral:rRNA from 1 species